UACAGAGGUCCCAAGCGUUGUUCGGAUUCACUGGGCGUAAAGGGUGCGUAGGUGGUGAGGUAAGUCGGAUGUGAAAUCUCCGAGCUCAACUCGGAAAUGGCAUUGGAAACUACCUUGCUAGAGGGUUGGAGGGGGGACUGGAAUACUUGGUGUAGCAGUGAAAUGCGUAGAUAUCAAGUGGAACACCAGUGGCGAAGGCGAGUCCCUGGACAACUCCUGACACUGAGGCACGAAAGCCAGGGGAGCAAACAGG
rnacentral:rRNA from 1 species